rnacentral:misc_RNA from 1 species
AAGUCGUAACAAGGUUUCCGUAGGUGAACCUGCGGAAGGAUCAUUAGAGAUUGGCCUCUGGCCGUGUCUAUUCCACACACACCGUGAACUGUACGUCUUGGGGCUCUCGGGCCCCGGGCGCAAACACCAAAAACAUUAGUGUAAUGAAUGUAAAUCAUUGUAACAAAAACAAAACUUUCAACAACGGAUCUCUUGGCUCUC